rnacentral:lncRNA from 1 species
AGAGGUAGUUUUGGUUAUGCCAUGUAUAUACAGUGAUGGUUGUUUUAGUUUGUUCUAUGAGAGGCUGGUGGUUUUUGGAACUUGUAUGUACAGUGGACCGUUUAUGUAUUGUAUUAAUAUAUGUUUCAGUUUUAGCAGCUCUAUACUUCUGGUUGUAGCUAUGAUUUGUUUACAGGUACAGCUAUCGCUUCGUAUACAUGGAAAAUUUCUAUGUAUACAGUGGGUUUGUUGGCAUGCCCGGGGAAACGUGGUAAUCCGGGGCGUGAC